GACGUAGGGGGCCAGCGUUGCUCGGAAUUACUGGGUGUAAAGGGUUCGUAGGCGGUGUGGCAAGUCGGGAGUGAAAUCCCUGGGCUUAACCCAGGGGCUGCUUCUGAAACUGCCGUGCUAGAGUGUGGGAGAGGCGCGUGGAAUUGCAGGUGUAGCGGUGAAAUGCGUAGAUAUCUGCAGGAACACCCGUGGCGAAAGCGGCGCGCUGGACCACUACUGACGCUGAGGAGCGAAAGCGUGGGGAGCAAACAGG
rnacentral:rRNA from 1 species